rnacentral:rRNA from 1 species
CAUGUAGGCGGCAUGACAAGUCUGGUGUGAAAUAUCUCGGCUCAACCGAGAAAACUCACUGGAAACUGUCAAGCUUGAGUAUCGGAGGGGAAGCUAGAAUUCCUGGUGUAGGGGUGAAAUCUGUAGAUAUCAGGAAGAAUACCGGUGGCGAAGGCGAGCUUCUGGCCAGAUACUGACGCUGAGAUGCGAAAGCGUGGGGAGCGAACAGGAUUAGAUACCCUGGUAGUCC